rnacentral:rRNA from 1 species
UACGGGAGGCAGCAGUGGGGAAUCUUAGACAAUGGGCGCAAGCCUGAUCUAGCCGUGCCGCGUGAGUGAUGAAGGUCUUAGGAUCGUAGAGCUCUUUCGCCAGGGAUGAUAAUGACAGUACCUGGUAAAGAAACCCCGGCUAACUCCGUGCCAGCGACCGCGGUAAU